rnacentral:rRNA from 1 species
GAUGAACGCUGGCGGCGUGCCUAAUACAUGCAAGUCGAGCGAACAGACGAGGAGCUUGCUCCUCUGACGUUAGCGGAGGACGGGUGAGUAACACGUGGAUAACCUACCUAUAAGACUGGGAUAACUUCGGGAAACCGGCGCUAAUACCGGAUAAUAUAUUGAACCGCGUGGUUCAAUAGUGAAAGACGGUUUUGCUGUCACUUCUAGAUGGAUCCGCGCCGCAUUAGCUGGUUGGUAAGGUAACGGCUUACCAAGGCAACGAUGCGUAGCCGACCGGAGAGGCUGAUCGGCCACACUGGAGCUGAGACACGGUCCAUACGCCUACGGGACGCAGCAGUAGGGAAUCGGCCGCAAUGGGCGGAAGCCUGACGGAGCAACGCCGCGUCAGUGAUGAAGGUCUUCGGAGCGUAAAACUCUGUUACUAGUUAAGAACAAAUGUGUAAGGAACUAUGCACGUCGUGACGGUACCUGAUCAGAAAGCCACGGCUAACUACGUG